UGAGGAAUAUUGGACAAUGGGCGCAAGCCUGAUCCAGCCAUGCCGCGUGCAGGAUGACGGUCCUAUGGAUUGUAAACUGCUUUUGUACAGGAAGAAACAGUUCUACGUGUAGAACCUUGACGGUACUGUAAGAAUAAGGAUCGGCUAACUCCGUGCCAGCAGCCGCGGUAAUACGGAGGAUCCAAGCGUUAUCCGGAAUCAUUGGGUUUAAAGGGUCCGUAGGCGGUUAGAUAAGUCAGUGGUGAAAGCCCAUCGCUCAACGGUGGAACGGCCAUUGAUACUGUCUGACUUGAAUUAUUAGGAAGUAACUAGAAUAUGUAGUGUAGCGGUGAAAUGCUUAGAGAUUACAUGGAAUACCAAUUGCGAAGGCAGGUUACUACUAAUGGAUUGACGCUGAUGGACGAAAGCGUGGGUAGCGAACAGGAUUAG
rnacentral:rRNA from 1 species